GGUCGCAUGGCGGAGUGGCUUACGCAGCGGUUUGCAAAACCGCGCACACUGGUUCAAUUCCAGUUGCGACCU
rnacentral:tRNA from 1 species